rnacentral:rRNA from 1 species
CCUACGGGGGGCUGCAGUGGGGAAUAUUGGGCAAUGGACGCAAGUCUGACCCAGCAACGCCGCGUGAAGGAAGAAGGCUUUCGGGUUGUAAACUUCUUUUAAGGGGGAAGAGCAGAAGACGGUACUCCUUGAAUAAGCCACGGCUAACUACGUGCCAGCAGCCGCGGUAAUACGUCGGUGGCAAGCGUUGUCCGGAUUUACUGGGGGUAAAGGGCGUGCAGCCGGAGAGACAAGUCAGAUGUGAAAUCCGCGGGCUCAACCCGCGAACUGCAUUUGAAACUGUUUCCCUUGAGUAUCGGAGAGGUCAUCGGAAUUCCUAGUGUAGCGGUGAAAUGCGUAGAUAUUAGGAAGAACACCAGUGGCGAAGGCGGAUGACUGGACGACAACUGACGGUGAGGCGCGAAAGCGUGGGGAGCAAACAGGAUUAGAUACCCCAGUAGUC